AGGGAAGGUUGUUUGCAUUGGGGCAUAAAAGUAAAUGUUAUAAUCGAAGGUUAUUGACCUGAAUCGUUUGCACUAUCUGUGAGCAGGUUUGUUAUGUGUGACCAUGUCUGUUGACAUUUUGUUAGUUGGAUUUGUUUUUUUUGUUUUAUUUGCACCAUGACUAGGGAAGGUUGUUUGCAUUGAGUCAUUAAACUACCGUAUUUUUUGGACUAUAAGUCGCAGUUUUUUUUCAUAGUUUAUGAAAGUUGCAUAAUGUUUUUUUCCUUCUUUAUCAUGCAUUUUCGGCAGGUGCGACUUAUACUCCAAAAAAUACGGUAAAUGUUAUGAUCAAAGUUUAUUGAUCUGAGUUUCUCACACACUCAGUGAGCAGGUUUGUUAUGUGUGACCAUGUCUGUAGACAUUUUGUUAGUUGGAUUUGUUUUUUUUUGUUUUAUUUGCACCAUGACUAGGGAAGGUUGUUUGCAUUGAGUCAUUAAACUAAAUGUUAUGAUCGAAGUUUACUGAUCUGAGUUUCUCACACACUCAGUGAGCAGGUUUGUUAUGUGUGACCAUGUCUGUAGACAUUUUGUUAGUUGGAUUUGUUUUUUUUUGUUUUAUUUGCACCAUGACUAGGGAAGGUUGUUUGCAUUGAGUCAUUAAACUAAAUGUUAUGAUCGAAGUUUACUGAU